GAUGAACGCUGGCGGCGUGCCUAAUACAUGCAAGUCGAGCGAACAGACGAGGAGCUUUCUCCUUUGACGUAGUCGGCGGACGGGUGAUGAACACGUAGGUAACCUACCUAUAAGACUGGGAUAACUUCGCGAAACCUGAGCUAAUACCGGAUAAUAUUUCGAACCUAAUGGUUCGAUCGUGAAAUAUGCCUUUUCUAUCACUUAUUGAUGGACCUGCGCCGUGUUAGCUAGUUGGUAAGGGAACGGCUUACCACGGCAGCGAUGGGUAGCCGACCUGAGAGGGUGGUCUGGUAGACUGUAACAGAGACACAGUCCACACAUCGGGAGGGGGAAGCAGUAGAGACUCCUACGCGAAGCGGGAGAGGGUAACGGAGCACAGUGGCGUGAGUGAUGACGGACUUCUGAUGGUAGAACGCUGUAAUUAGGGAAGAACAAAAGUGUAAGUACCUGUGCACGUCUUGACGGUACCUAAUCAGAAAGCCACGGCUAACUACGUG
rnacentral:rRNA from 1 species